GGACCCUUAGCUCAGUUGGUUAGAGCAGACGGCUCAUAACCGUCCGGUCGUAGGUUCGAGUCCCACAGGGUCCA
rnacentral:tRNA from 1 species